UUUCUGUACCAGCCGAGAGGCAGGUGCCACAGGGAAUCAGCAUGGGGCUUGGAGUCAGCCCAAUCUGGGUUGAAACCUGUCUCUGCUGCUUUUCAGAUGUGACCUUGGGUAAGCUGACACUCUGAACUUCAGUUUCUUUAUCUGUAAAAAGGAGGACAGUGUAGAAAUUUGCAGGCCAGAUAGUAUAUGUAAACCCCCCUGGCACAAUUAAUAAAUAGAAGCAAAUGUCAAUAAUAAUAGGGGAACCAACAAAAUUCCGUCGGGGCUCAGGGCCCUUGAAGGGUACAUAGAAUUUUGACAUCAAGGAGAAGCAUUAGGCAAUAGGCUACAUGGGGAGCAUGCUUUUUACCCACCUCUGGGCCAAGGGUGUCCUUGUGCCAUGGUUGUAAUGCCCUUGGGGGAUGUCCAUCUGCCAUGGGCUGGGGCAGCGAGUUGUGGGAAGGGAGACCUGGUUUGACUUCCAUGCCCUCGGAAGGGCAAAUGCAUGGCCCAGUGGCUGGUCAGAGCGGGGACAUGGCAGCUGGUGGGUUGCAUGUGUGUAUAUGCUGAGUCAUGGGGUGGGGUCACCAGACACCUACAAGGAUUUGCACUCACCCUGCUAGUGUGCCUAUCCCUAGGGAAUGAAAACACUUUGUAU
rnacentral:lncRNA from 1 species